rnacentral:misc_RNA from 1 species
AAAGUGCGAUAAUUAUUGUGAAUUGCGGAAUUCGUGAAUCAUCAAGUUUUUGAACGCAUAUUGCACCAAUUAUAUAAUUGGUACAUUUGUUUGAGUGUUGGUUAAUUAUCUUCUUCAACCAGAAAGUUAAAUGAAUGUCUUUAUUAUCUUUUAUUUGAUAAAAAGUCAUUUUAAAAUGAAAAUUUAAUUAAUCUAAUGUUCAUUAUUGAACUAUUUGAUUAUAUUUUUAAACUAAUAUUUAUUUUAAAUAUCAACCUCAAAUCAAAUGUGAUUACCCGCUGAAUUUAA